rnacentral:lncRNA from 1 species
GUUCGGAUACCAUCGAUAAUGUCAAGGCCAAAAUACAAGACAAGGAGGGUAUUCCACCAGAUCAGCAAAGAUUGAUUUUUGCUGGGAAACAGCUAGAGGAUGGUCGCACACUUGCUGACUAUAAUAUUCAGAAAGAGUCUACGCUUCACUUGGUGCUCCGACUCCGUGGUGGUAUGCAAAUCUUUGUGAAAACCUUAACUGGCAAGACCAUCACCUUGGAGGUUGAGAGCUCUGACACCAUUGACAAUGUGAAAGCCAAGAUCCAAGACAAGGAGGGUAUUCCCCCAGACCAGCAGAGGCUUAUCUUUGCUGGUAAGCAGCUCGAGGAUGGGCGCACCCUUGCUGACUACAACAUUCAGAAGGAGUCCACCUUGCAUUUGGUGCUUCGUCUCCGUGGUGGCAUGCAGAUUUUUGUGAAGACCCUUACUGGAAAGACAAUCACCUUGGAGGUAGAGAGCUCUGACACAAUUGAUAAUGUCAAGGCCAAGAUCCAAGAUAAGGAGGGGAUCCCACCAGACCAGCAGAGGUUGAUCUUUGCUGGGAAGCAGCUUGAAGAUGGAAGGACUCUUGCAGAUUAUAAUAUUCAGAAAGAAUCUACUCUGCAUUUGGUGCUUCGUCUGCGUGGUGGAAUGCAGAUUUUUGUCAAAACCCUGACAGGGAAAACCAUUACCCUCGAGGUUGAGAGCUCUGACACAAUUGACAAUGUGAAGGCUAAAAUCCAGGACAAGGAGGGUAUUCCCCCGGACCAACAACGAUUGAUUUUUGCUGGUAAACAACUUGAAGAUGGACGAACCCUUGCAGACUAUAAUAUCCAGAAAGAGUCCACUCUUCACCUUGUCCUCCGACUCCGUGGUGGUUUCUAAUCUGUUUGCUGUUUGGUUUAUAAGCAGUUACUUAUAUCUAUAAUAUCUUGGGUGAUUGUUUAUUUAAAUUUGUUGAUGUCUGUGUGCGUCCAAUGGUCGUAAAUGAGUGGCC